AAGUUUGGUGUCUGCCGUCUUCUUUUGCACCUGUACUUUUGCGCUUGGUUGGAAAUCACGUAAACUGUUUACAUCUUGUUCAGCCAGGAAAGCUGUCCUUUGGGAGUUCUACUUAUUCCUUUUUUUCUGGACUCGAAACCGGGGCCGUGGUUUCGGAAAUGGGAGGAAAGAUGGGAAGGAUGGACGCAGGUUUUCUGAGCCUCUCUACCUAGAGCCUGCCAGGAUAAACCCAAAUUAGAACCAACAUGUCCAGUACUCUCCGAACGUCUGCCACGUACAUCGUUCUCCUUGUUAACACCAGUGUGUAUCCAGUAUCAUAAAGCUUUGGGAAAAUAACUCUG
rnacentral:lncRNA from 1 species